CCAGACUCCUACGGGAGGCAGCAGUGGGGGAUAUUGCACAAUGGGGGAAACCCUGAUGCAGCGACGCCGCGUGGGCGAAGAAGUAUUUCGGUAUGUAAAGCCCUAUCAGCAGGGAAGAAGAAAUGACGGUACCUGAGUAAGAAGCACCGGCUAAAUACGUGCCAGCAGCCGCGGUAAUACGUAGGUGGCGAGCGUUAUCCGGAAUUACUGGGUGUAAAGGGAGCGUAGGCGGGGGAACAAGUUGAAUGUUUAAGAUAUGGGCUCAACUCAUAUAAGCGUUCAAAACUGUUUUUCUUGAGUGAAGUAGAGGUAAGCGGAAUUCCUAGUGUAGCGGUGGAAUGCGUAAAUAUUAGGAGGAACACCAGUGGCGAAGGCGGCUUACUGGGCUUUAACUGACGCUGAGGCUCGAAAGCGUGGGUAGCAAACAGGAUUAGAUACCCCGGUA
rnacentral:rRNA from 1 species